ACACCGUUGGUGAAUUGGUUAUCAUACUUGCUUUCCCAGCAAGUGGCUCGGGUUCGAUUCCCGAACAGUAUA